rnacentral:lncRNA from 1 species
CUAAAAAUCUGGGCAAAAUAUAUAUGAAACAACAGUUUUCAGACAUUGGAUAAUAGGCAGCACAGAGAUAUAUUUCUGGGAGAAGGAAAACAAAUAAGGUUAGAUUUGUGACUGUGCCAGCUUAUUGCCUGGAGGCAGUUUCCAGGACACAGCACAGGGAGGGGGCCCAAAUAGAACCUGGCACUCUCCAUUAAGUGAAAAGACAGAUUACAGUUUGGGGAGGCCAAAGUAGCAAGAAUCUGUGGGUCAGAGUACCGCAGAGAAUGGAGUUGCAGAGAGGGAGAGACAGAGAGAGGGGAGAAGGGAGGGAGGGAGGGAGAUGAUACGAGCAAGAUGGUGAGAUAAAAGGUCCCAUGGCAUCUCUCCCCGCCCCACAAAAAUGCAACUUGAAACUACUCCAAGACAAGAAUACCAUCCUGAAUUUACCAGAAAUCAGGGGAGAAGCAGAAAAACCUCCUGGGCCCACAGACAGAGAGAAUCUAUGACUUGUAAGAGAAAUGGUCAUUUCAGACUGUGCUGCCCCUCUGGCAAGCCUGCAUAACAUCACUUAUAGAGAAUUUCCCAGGUUAGAGAAGGGAAUCAGAGGUGGACAUUUGAUCUCCCACCAGUCUGGAAAUCUUCAAGGGAAUCCUACUCAAGUCCUGUCCCAUAGGAAUCACUGGGGUGCAAGGAGGGCUGAACCACCCAGAGUGAACUGCACACAAAGAGCAGGACACAGAUUGCAGCAAAUAGCAUGUGGAUUUUGAUGGAUACUUUGUGCUCCCAUCAGCAGGGAUGCCAUGAUAAAGAGACAGGCUGGGGCCAUAGUGCCACAGGGGGCACAAUUCACAGGAAGGCCUCAAUUCCCUGGUCAGAGUUUUCAUUAAGCCCAGGUUCUUGUGUGGAGCCUUUCCCUGGCCUAGAAACAACUAAAAGGUCAGGAUUAAGUUCCAGUGCCCACUUAUUCUUCCCCAUCCUGGAAAACAACGACAGAGCAGCAAUAUAUUUCUGGAGCAACAUUAAGUUCUGGUGCUCACUGUAAGUCUUCCCCAGAGCAGGAAAUAACAACAGGACAAUGAAUCACUUCCACUGCAGUGUUUUAGUUCUGGUGCUCAUUAUAGGUCCUCCCUAGAAUGGGAAGAGACAACAGUCCAAGAUUUUAAGUUCUGAUACUAAUUAGUAAAGGUCUAAUACUACCAAAGAACACCUACAAAAACUUGAAGGGGUGACUGUCUCCUCAAAUGCACUGCCAUCAAUGUAAAGGUGCAAAGAUUGUGAAAACUCAGGGAAAUAUGACACCAUUAAAAGGAACCAAUGGACCUAGAAUUGAAGAUGUAUACAAUGACAGACAGAGAAGUUAGAAUAAUUCUCUUAAAGUUCAGGGAAUCACAAAAAAUAUGGAUAGAAAAUUAAAUGAAAUUAGGGAAACAGCCCAGGAACAAAAUACUAAAUUUAAUAAAUAAAUAGAAACAAUUUUUUAAACCAAAUAGAAAUCCUAGAAAUACAAUAACUGAAUUAAAAAAUUUAUUAGAAAGCUUCUACAGCAGACAUGAUCAACCAGAAGAAAGAAUUAACAAGAUCGAAGACAGAACAUAUAAAAUUACCUAAUCAGAGAAGCAAAAGGAAAAAAAGAAUGAAAAAGAGUGAAGAAGGCCUACAAGAAUUAUGAAACACCAUCUAGCUAACUAACCUCCUCAUAAAAGGAAUUCCUGUUUGGGCUGGUGGCUCUUGCCUGUAAUCCCAGCACUUUGGGAGGCCGAGGCCCGUGGAUCAGGAGGUCAGGAGAUCGAGACCAUCCUGGCUAACACAGUGAAACCCCAUCUCCACUAAAAAUACAAAAAGAUUAGCCGGGCGUGGUGGCAGGCGCCUGUAAUCCCAGCUACUCGGGAGGCUGAGGCAGGAGAAUGGCGUGAACCUGGGAGGCGGAGCUUGCAGUGAGCCGAGAUUGUGCCACUGCACUCCAGCCUGGGUGACAGAGUGAAACUCUGUCUCAAAAAAAAAAAAAAAGGAAUUCCCAAAGGAGACAAGAGAGGGAAAGGCAUAGAGAGGGAGGGAGAGAGAGAAAGAAAAAAUGAAAGGGAGGGAAGGAAGAAGAGGGAAGGAGAGGCUGAGCUGCAGAGGGGUCCUAAGUAUUGAUUUGUACAUGUGUGAGAAAAAAAUUCUCCAAGACCAGAAUAACAACCAUCAGAAAGGAGUAGGAACAAUCGUGGCUGGAGCUCAAGGCUAGGAAUAGUUCAUCUGCCCACCAGACAUAGUGGAAAGAUUUCAUUAUAUACAACACAUUGGGAAGAAACCUCUAGAGUGUUAUCUUAGUAUUGGAAUUAAAUUAGCCUUUGAUUGGCCGGGUGUGGUGGCUCAUGCCUGUUAUCCUAGAACUUUGGGAGGUCAAGGCGAGUGGAUCACCUGAGGGCAGGAGUUCGAGACCAGCCUGGCCAACAUGGUGAAACCCUGUCUCUACUAAAAGUACAAAAAUUAGCUGGGCGUGAUGGUGAGUGCCUGUAAUCUCAGCUACUCAGGAGGCUGAGGCACGAGAAUUGCUUCAACCUGGGAGGUGGAGGUUGCAGUGAGCCAAGAUUGUGCCACUGUACUCCAGCCUGGGCAACAGAGCAAGACUCCAUCUCAAAAAAAGAAAAAUAAAAAAAAAAAGCCAGGUGCGAUGGCUCAGGCUGGGAGCGGUGGCUCACACCUGUAAUCCCAGCACUUUGGGAGGCUGAGGCAGGCAGAUCACGAGGUCAAGAGAUCGAGGCCAUCCUGGCCAACAUGGUGAAAACUCAUCUCUACUAAAAAUACAAAAAUUAGCUUGGCAUGGUGGCACAUGCCUGUAGUCCCAGCUACUCAGGAGGCUGAGGCAGGAGAAUCGCUUGAACCCGGGAGGGGGAGGUUGCAGUGAGCCCAGAUCACGCCACUGCACUCCAGCCUGGCGACAGAGCGAGACUGCCAAAAAAAGAAAAAGAAAUCACAGAGUACAAGAAGCCUUAAAAAAAAACAACAGAGCAUCAUGAUCUGUGGGACAAUAUCAAGCAGUCAAAACUACAUGUAAUUGGAUUCCCAGGAAAAGAGGGAGAGGGGAGAGAAAAAUAUUUGAAAAAAAAAAAAAGACUCAAAAUUUUGCAAAAUUGAUGAAACUAUAAACCUAUAGAUAUGAGAAGCAUGACAAACACCAAACAUAAGAAACACGAAUGAAGCCACAUCAACUCAUAAUAAAAUUGCUGAAAAGUGGUAGUGAUGAGAAAAAUCUUAAAAGCAGCCAGGAAAAAAAAAAGAAAAGACACAUUAGAAAAAAAAAAAAAACAAAGAUAUGGGAAGGAGUCACAGAAUAGUCCGAAGGGGAGAAACCGGACUGAAACCCACUCAGUCCUGGCCCAGGGUGCCUCACCUGGAUGAUACUUCCAGCUCAGGCUGUUCCCAGUCCUGGGAGAGAGCUUAGGACAUUUCAGAGAGGAGAUUCUGAUGACCAUAAUCAUGUUAGACCAGGUCCAGACUUGAAGUGCCCUGCAUGGAAGACACUGUCUCUGGGCAGUUCGAGACACCAGGUUUAGAAAAUGUCAAGGAAGAUGCUCCAAAGCACAGGGAUCCCGGAGUGGCAUGACCCAGGAGAAAAGCCUCACUUGCCCUGGUCUAAAGGCAUUACUGCUUCCUCCCUUUCUUCCCAGGGAAAUACCUAAAAUUAUAGUUUAAAGAUGUCAGAGCGUCCAUCAAACUGAAGGAAAGCAUGCAACAGCGCCCCCAUCUUGCAGCUCUCACUCAUCCUUGCGGCUGAUUGCACAUGAUACAAGUGGGAGAAAGAAGCGUCUAUUGUAUUAAACCAAUGAGAUUUCAGGAUGUGUUUGUUACAGCAGCUACCCAAUAAUUUCCACAACUAUUCAUCCCAGCUCCUCCAUGUUUUAAUUACCUGUGAACUUGGAUAACCUCCAGAAGGGCUGCAUUCUGCAAGGUAGAGGUCUUUUUCUGCACAUUCUUUUGAGUAUUCUCCAUCAAUCCAGUGCCGUGUGAUUUUUAUAGUUAAAACAUUUCACAACAUUCCUACUCUGCUGGUGGCACUUUGUUCUAUUUUCUUAAAAUCAUGCCUGUCGUUUUUGGGAUUUGAGGUUCAGAGAAUAAUUAGAUUUGUGUAUUUAAUUCACCAUCUUGACACAGGCACCCUCUCUCAUUGUGUUUUAAUUUGCACUUUUGAUUCUUUGUAAGCCUACAUUUUUUCCGUGUUCUUUUACUAAUCAUUCCCUAAUUUGUUAAUUUGCCACUCAUACUCUUUGCUUCUUUAUUCAUUGUAAUAUUCAUUUUAAAGUAAAAUACUGCUCAGCUGCAUGCAAAUUUAUAAUUCUAAAACAUUCCCUGUGCAUUCCUGUUUUCCUAUAUGUAUUCAUGUCAGUCCAUGUGUUCAGUGAUUCCCUGCCCUAUUCUUGUUUAACUUGGUCCUUCACAGCCGGGCGCAGUGGCUCACGCCUGUAAUCCCAGCACUUUGGGAGGCCAAGGUGGGAGGUUCACGAGGUCAGGAGAUCGAGACCAUCUUGGCUAACACGGUGAAACCCCGUCUCUACUAAAAAUACAAAAAAUUAGCCGGGCGUGACGGCGGGCGCCUGUAGUCCCAGCUACUCGGGAG